GUCAGCGGCCGGAAGGGAAACGCGAAGCCAGCGCGGCCGCGGGGGGAGUCCGGGUAGCGGUUGAAACCAACCAUCAUGGUGAUCUGACUUCUCUAGGGCUGGCCAUACAUUAUUUGAGCUCUUCCUGAUGAAAGGUAAGCAACAAUACUGAGCAACAAUGGGAGCCCUCUGUCUACAAAAAUUUAAAAAUUAGCCGGGUGCGUUGGCUCACGCCUGUAAUUCCAGCACUUUAGGAAGCCAAGGUGAGCCAAUCACCUGAGGUCGGGAGUUCGAGACCCGCCUGACCGACAUGGAGAAAGCUCAUCUCUACUAAAAAUACAAAAUUAGCCAGGCGUGGUGGCACAUGCCUGUAAUCCCAGCUACUCAGGAGGCUGAGGCAGGAGAAUCGCUUGAACCCAGGAGUCAGAGGUUGCGGUGAGCCAAGAUCGCGCCAUUGCACUCCAGCCUGAGCAACAAGAGUGAAACUCCGUCUCAAAAAAAAAAAAAAUGUUUUUAUCUGGUAGUGGUGGCUCACGACUACAGUCACAACACUUUGGGAAUCCAAGGCAGAUGGAUUGCUUGAGCCCAGGAGUUCUACAUCAGCCUGGGCAGCAUGGUAAAACUCCAUCUCCAAUAAAUAAGAAUAUUAGCAUGGUGCACACCUGUAAUCCCAGCUACUGGGGAGGCUGAGGUGGGAGGAUCACUAGAGCCUAGGAGAUAGAGACUGCAGUGAGCUGUGAUCAUACCACUGCAGUCUAGCCUGGGUGACAGUGAGACCCUCUCUGGAAAAAAAAGAAAUGUAAGCAGAAAUCUGCAGGAUGGGUUCUUUGGGAAGAAUUCCCCUUUCCUGAUACAAUAAGGGACAAAUUCAGCUAACAUACCAUUUAAACCUUCUUUCUGCCUGAAACGUGGUCUCGAUACACAAAGUAAUACCCAUCUUGUAAUUUUUUUAACAAUUUUAUCCCAUUUGCAGUUUCAUUGUUUAAAAAAUUUGAUUAAACAGGCCAGGCACAGUGGCUCACGCCUGUAAUCCCAGCACUUUGGGAGGCUGAGGCAGGUGGAUCACCUGAGGUCAGGAGUUCAAGACCAGCCUGACCAACAUGGUGAAACCCUAUCUGUACUAAAAAUGCAAAAAAUUAUCCAGGUGUGGUGAUGGGUGCCUGUAAUCCCAGCUACUCGGGAGGCUGAGGCUACAGAAUUACUUGAACCCAGGGAGUGGAGGGUUUUUUUUUGUUUGUUUGUUUGUGUUUUUUUGCAGUGAGCUGAGAUUCUGCCAUUGCAUUCCAGCCUGGGCAACGAGCAAAAAAAAAUCCAUCUCAAAAAAAAGAAAAAAAAAAAA
rnacentral:lncRNA from 1 species